rnacentral:rRNA from 1 species
CGGGGGAGCGAAGCGUUGUUCGGAUUUACUGGGCGUAAAGGGCGCGUAGGCGGCCACCGCAAGUCGACUGUGAAAUCUCUGGGCUUAACCCAGAACGGUCAGCCGAUACUGCGGGGCUAGAGUGCAGAAGGGGCAACUGGAAUUCUCGGUGUAGCGGUGAAAUGCGUAGAUAUCGAGAGGAACACCUGCGGCGAAGGCGGGUUGCUGGGCUGACACUGACGCUGAGGCGCGAAAGCUAGGGGAGCGAACGGGAUUAGAUACCCCGGUAGUCCUAGCCUUAAACGAUGAAUGCUUGGUGUCUGGGGUUUUAUAGUCCCCGGGUGCCGUCGCUAACGCUUUAAGCAUUCCGCCUGGGGAGUACGGUCGCAAGACCG